UUUAUUCAUAAAAGUUGGGGUCUUACACUAAAAUGUUGUCUAACAGCCAUAUGUUAGGGCUUCUAGAUCUGUGUGUGUUAGGUGUUAUGUGUGUUUUAUGUUAUGGAUUUGUUCUUUGCUAUGUAGGCUUUAAUCUGGAACUGGAAUAAUGGUCAUAACAUGUCUAGAUCUCCAGAUAUGAGCAGUCAAACUGCGUUGAUCGGCCACGAAAUCUGGUUUCUAGGUAACCCAGAAACCCAGAAAUCACUAACAACGUUG
rnacentral:lncRNA from 1 species